AACGAACGCUGGCGGCAUGCCUAACACAUGCAAGUCGAACGAGACUUCGGUCUAGUGGCGGACGGGUGAGUAACGCGUAGGAACCUGCCAAGCAGUGGGGAAUAACAGCUGGAAACGGCUGCUAAUACCGCAUACGCCCUUCGGGGGAAAGAUUUAUCGCUGUUUGAGGGUCCUGCGUUCGAUUAGCUAGUUGGUGAGGUAACGGCCCACCAAGGCGACGAUCGAUAGCUGGUCUGAGAGGAUGAUCAGCCACACUGGGACUGAGACACGGCCCAGACUCCUACGGGAGGCAGCAGGUGGGGAAUAUUGGACAAUGGGGGAAACCCUGAUCCAGCAAUGCCGCGUGCGUGAAGAAGGCCUUAGGGUUGUAAAGCGCUUUCACCUGUGAUGAUGAUGACAGUAGCAGGAGAAGAAGCCCCGGCUAACUCCGUG
rnacentral:rRNA from 1 species